GUAGUUGAGGGUUAACCGUUAGUAAUUUGAAGUUACUUUUUUCGUAUUUAUUAGAUAACGACAACUACU
rnacentral:tRNA from 1 species